rnacentral:sRNA from 1 species
GAAAGCAGUGGCCCCAGGGAGGGCAGUUGACUUAGAAGCAGAAGCUUCCCUAGGGAGGCUUCUGGCCUAGGGAAGCUUCUGGCCUAGGGAAGUUUUGACUUAGGGAAAGCAGUGGCCCUAGGGAGGGCAGUGGACUUAGGGACGGUAGUGAACCUAGGGACGGUAGUGGCCCCAAAGCAGAAGCUUCCCUAGGGAGGCUUCUGGCCUAGGGAGGCUUCUGGCCUAGGGAGGCUUCUGGCCUAGGGAGGCUUCUGACCUAGGGAGGCUUCUGGCCUAGGGAGGCUUCUGGCCUAGGGAGGCUUCUGGCCUAGGGAGGCUUCUGGCCUAGGGAGGCUUCUGGCCUAGGGAGGCUUCUGGGCUUCUGGCCUAGGGAGGCUUCUGGCCUAGGGAAGUUUUUGACUUAGGGAAAGCAGUGGCCCUAGGGAGGGCAGUGGACUUAGGGACGGUAGUGAACCUAGGGAGGCUUCUGACCUAGGGAGGCUUCUGCCUAGGGAAGCUUCUGGCCUAGGGAGGCUUCUGGCCUAGGGAGGCUUCUGUGGCCUAGGGGGGAGGCUGGAUAGGGAAGUUUUUCUUAGAGAGGUAGACGGGCAAAGGCCCCCAGGCUUUCCCUGCAUUUUGAUCACGCACGACGACGCUUGGUGUCUUCUGCUACUACCAUCAAUCCAUCAGAUAAUGUCUAUUAGCUGCUAAACAAUCCGACCAGUAUGAAGA